GACAGAGGUGCCGAGCGUUAGGCGGAAUCACUGGGCUUAAAGCGUGUGUAGGCGGGCCGUUAAGUAUCUUGUGAAAUCCCCCGGCUCAACCGGGGAAUGGCUGGAUAUACUGGCGGUCUUGAGCAGUUCAGGGGCAGAUGGAACAGACGGUGGAGCGGUGAAAUGCGUAGAUAUCGUCUGGAACGCCAAAGGUGAAGACAGUCUGCUGGGAACUUGCUGACGCUGAGACACGAAAGCCAGGGGAGCAAACGGG
rnacentral:rRNA from 1 species